rnacentral:rRNA from 1 species
UACGGGGGGGGCAAGCGUUGUUCGGAAUCAUUGGGCGUAAAGGGCGCGUAGGUGGUUCUGUAUGUCUACCGUGAAAGCAUACAGCUCAACUGUAUUUUGUCGGUAGAAACUGCAGGACUUGAGGCUGGGAGGGGCUGGUGGAAUUCCCUGUGUAGCGGUGAAAUGCGUAGAGAUGCGGAGGAACACCGAUGGCGAAGGCAGCCCCCUGGGCCGACAUUGACGCUCAGGCACGAAAGCGUGGGGAGCAAACAGG